CGUUGCCGCUCCGCGUCCACCGAAGAAUCACCAAUGGCUCCGAUGUCGAAGAUGGCGCUCGGCAUAAAGCGGGCGUCGAGAUCGCACACCUACCACCGCCGCGGGCUUUGGGCCAUCAAGGCCAAGCACGGCGGCGCCUUCCCCAAGGCCGAGAAGCCGGCCGCCGUCGCCGAGCCCAAGUUCUAUCCCGCUGAUGAUGUCAAGCCACGCACCGUCAGCACACGCAAACCCCAUCCCACCAAGCUCAGAUCGACCAUCACACCGGGCACGGUGCUGAUCCUGCUCGCGGGGAGGUACAUGGGGAAGCGCGUGGUGUUCCUCAAGCAGCUCAAGUCCGGCCUUCUCCUCAUCACUGGACCUUUCAAGAUCAAUGGCGUGCCAAUCCGCAGAGUGAACCAGACUUACGUCAUUGCCACAUCCACAAAGGUCGACAUCUCUAAGGUUAAUGUGCAGAAGUUUGAUGACAAGUACUUUGCUAGGGAGAAGAAGACUAGGGCAAAGAAGACUGAGGGCGAGCUAUUUGAGUCGGAGAAGGAGGCAACCAAGAAUUUGCCAGACUUCAAGAAGGAUGACCAGAAGGUCAUUGAUGCCGAGUUGAUCAAGGCUAUCGUUGCUGUCCCAGACCUUAAAAAUUAUCUUGGUGCCCGGUUCUCUCUCAGGGAUGGCGACAAGCCGCAUGAGAUGACCUUCUAA
rnacentral:rRNA from 1 species